GACGAACGCUGGCGGCGUGCUUAACACAUGCAAGUCGAACGAAGUGGCGAACGGGUGAGUAACGCUUAAUCAACCUGCCCCUCAGAGGGGGACAACAGUUGGAAACGACUGCUAAUACCGCAUACGGAAGGAGUGGAUUGCGUCUGAUUAGCUAGUUGGAGGGGUAACGGCCAACCAAGGCGAUGAUAAGUAGCCGGUCGGAGAGGGUGAGCGGCCACAAUGGGACGGAGACACGGCCCAGACUCCUACGGGAGGCAGCAGUGGGGAAUCUUCCGCAAUGGAGAAAAGCCUGACGGAGCAACGCCGCGUGAGUGAUGACGGCCUUCGGGUUGUAAAGUACUGUUAACCGGACGCGGUACCGGAAUAGAAAGCCACGGCUAACUACGUGCCAGCCGCCGCGGUAAUAC
rnacentral:rRNA from 1 species